rnacentral:rRNA from 1 species
UGCAGAAUCCCGUGAACCAUCGAGUCUUUGAACGCAAGUUGCGCCCAAAGCCAUCAGGCUGAGGGCAUGUCUGCCUGGGCGUCACAU